GAUGAACGCUGGCGGCGUGCCUAAUACAUGCAAGUCGAGCGAAUGGAUUGAGAGCUUGCUCUUAUGAAGUUAGCGGCGGACGGGUGAGUAACACGUGGGUAACCUGCCCAUAAGACUGGGAUAACUCCGGGAAACCGGGGCUAAUACCGGAUAACAUUUUGGACCGCAUGGUUCGAAAUUGAAAGGCGGCGUCGGCAGUCACUUAUGGAUGGACCCGCGUCUCAUUAGCUAGUUGGUGAGGUAACGGCUCACCAAGGCAACGAUGCGUAGCCGACCUGAGAGGGUGAUCGGCCACACUGGGACUGAGACACGGCCCAGACUCCUACGGGAGGCAGCAGUAGGGAAUCUUCCGCAAUGGACGAAAGUCUGACGGAGCAACGCCGCGUGAGUGAUGAAGGCUUUCGGGUCGUAAAACUCUGUUGUUAGGGAAGAACAAGUGCUAGUUGAAUAAGCUGGCACCUUGACGGUACCUAACCAGAAAGCCACGGCUAACUACGUGCCAGCAGCCGCGGUAA
rnacentral:rRNA from 1 species